CCCCCCUUAAGGGUCGACUCCCAGGCGACCCACGACAAACAAAAAAAAAAAAGAAGUCAAACCCAAAACGGGUGGGUGGAGGGGCGCCAGGAGGGGGGAAUCAAAAAAAUGGACUGCGGCAGAGCCGAGGGACGUCAGGCGGGCGUCCAGAAAACUACCCCAGGGCAUGGCAGGGAGCCUCAGGCGGACGGCCUGGGGGGCAAGCAGAGGCAGAGUGAAGGCGGAACCCUUCAGGAGGCCGGCGGCAAGGACGAUGAGGGCUCAGUCCCUCAGGAGACCUGCAGUGGCACAGAACCCCCUCAGAAGACCGGCAGCGGUGAAGGCGGAACCCUUCAGGAGGCCGGCGAAGGCGAGGUAGAGGGCGGGUCCCCUCAGGAGGACAGGGUAGAGGGCGGGUCCCCUCUUGUAGAAGGCCAGGCAGAGGGCGGGUCCCCUCAGGAGGCAGGCCAGGUAGAGGGCGGGUCCCCUCAGGAGGCAGGCCAGGUAGAGGGCGGGUCCCCUCAGGAGGCAGGCCAGGUAGAGGGCGGGUCCCCUCUGGUGGACAGGGCAGAGGGCGGGUCCCCUCUGGUAGAAGGCCAGGUAGGAACGGAGGGCGUGCCUCCCCUGGACGGUCUGGAGGGCGGACCCCCUCCGGCAGGAGCAGAGGCCGGACCCCCUCUGGAAGGAGCAGGGGGCGGGCCCCCUCAGGCAGGAGCGGAGGCCGGUCCCCCUCUGGAAGGAGCAGGGGGCGGGCCCCCUCAGGCAGGAGCGGAGGGCGGACCACCUCAAGCAGGCGAAGAGGCCGGUCCCCCUCUGGAAGGCGAGGAGCGGGCUCAGGAACCGGACAGGGCUCGGGGACCGGAGUCAGUGCGGGAGCUGGAGUGCCAGGAGGAACCGGGUGGUACCCCAAACUCUCCCAGCGAUCUAUUGCCUUCAUAAUAAAUAAAUCCUCCCACUCACGGCUAGCUUGAUCGUCCGCUGGGUCCAUUGUCUUAUUUAUUUUGGCUAUCAAAUCCUCCAACUUACGGUCAAAUUGCGCGUCCGCUGGGUCCCAUCGUGACGGUGCUGUCAUUCUGUUAAGGGGAGGCGGAGGUGCAGGCAGGCAGGUAGGACCCAAACGCAGACGGUAUUGAGGGUAAACGGCACUUUAUUCAGGCCUAAAGGCUAAGGCACGGAAACGGGGAACUCGGGAGACAACUCGGAACUCGGGAGACAACAGGGAACUCGAAAGGGAACAAGGAACACGGAACACGCAGGACUACAACCAACACUAACCACAGCAAACCACACACAAACCACAAUGACAGCACACCGAACAAAGGAAAGACGAGGGCUUAAAUAACAAACACAACGAGGAACAGCUGAGACACAUUAGGGGAGGGAACAGUAAUCAACACAGGAGGGAAAAACACAGGGAGACACCCACACCCUGACAAAC
ensembl:lncRNA